rnacentral:snoRNA from 1 species
CCCAUUUUGUAGCUGAUAAGCAUGAUGAUAGGGUUUUCAUAUAAUUGUAAGAGAUGUGCCCACCCAUAAACCUUGUCAGCACUUGACCAGUCUGAUG